UGUUUGGGUUAUUAUAGUCGUCUUUGCUUGAGUUAAAUAGUCAUCUAUAUAUCAAUUAUCAUAUGGUCCCAACAUUUAUACAUCAUUUGAGUUUAUUGGUGACAAAGUUUAGUCAAAAUCAAUUCACUUGGCUUUGAUCAGCACUUGUUAGGCAACUUCCUCGAUCCCCUUAUUCUUCUGAAAUUGUUCUGGCUUCUCACGUUGAGUGGGCGAUGGUUGUCUUAGUUGUGUUUCUUGUGUUUUUGUUGAUUCAGCCAGGAAUUUCACAGUCAAACGACCAUGAUAACAACACUAACAUUCAUCUUCAAUCGUUCUGUGGUAGUAUCGCUCCAAUACAUCCUACAAAUUUCAUCAAGAAUCGUAACUCUACCUUAGCUGAACUCAGAAAGCAAUUAAUGAAUGAAGGAGUACUAUCUGCAAGAGCACAGGAUUUAAGUGCUGGGGACACGGUCUAUGCAGCAGCUCAGUGCAGGAACUACCUAUCCAAAGAUCAGUGUGUGGCUUGUUUUGAUGCUGGCGUUUCUGUACUGGUCAAAUGCACAGCUGGCAAUGGUGCUUACACACUCUUCGAUAACUGCUUUAUCAGGUACGAAGACUUUGCUGACUUCUAUAAUAACCCAAAUGUGGUCCAGGAUGGGACUGGCACACCAUCUUCACGAUGUGGUGAUCAGUCAGCAUCACAGCCGAUUACAACUUUUCAAGGAGUUGUAGAUGACUUGCUAACCGAUAUUAGAGAUGCUACUCCAAAAGCAUCUAAUUUCUAUGUAGCAUUGACAAGGGAAAUCGCAAGUGAUAAUGCAACAGUGUAUGCGAUUGGACAGUGUGAUGGAAAUAAAAUCCCAUGUCAAAAUUGCAUGAAUGCAGCAUAUAACGAAUUAAAUAAUUGUCUUCCAAGAACCGAAGGAUGGUUUUUCGACAUGGGUUGUUUUGCAAGGUAUUCAACGACUCCAUUUUUCAAUAACAACCAAACAACAGAUAUCACAAGUGUCUUAAAAGGGCAUUCAAGUGAGGUACCCAUAAUUGUUGGAACAAUUGCUGGCAUAGCUUUGUUUUUCACUAUCAUUGUCAUGUGGUUAGUGUAUCGAAAACGGAAGAAAGCUAAAGAGAUUGAGCAAGAAGAUUUGAAGGGUGCAGUACAUUACAAUUAUAAAGAUCUGCAGCUGGCUACCAAUAAUUUUGGGGAAGAGAAUAUUCUAGGGAAAGGAGGUUUUGGUGAAGUAUUCAAGGCAACCCUUGAUGAUAACAAUGUUGUGGCAGUAAAGAAACUUCAUGUACAACAUGCUAGAGUAAAAGAAGAAUUUGAGAAUGAAGUUAAGCUUAUAAGUGACGUUCAUCAUCGAAAUCUUCUACGUCUCCUUGGAUGGUCCAGUGAAGGAUCUGAUCUACUUCUAGUCCUGGAAUAUAUGCCAAAUGGAAGCCUUGAUCGAUUCUUAUGGGGUUCUGAAAGGGGAACUCUGGACUGGAACCAACGAUAUGAAAUAAUAUUUGGGAUAGCCAGGGGUCUUGCUCAUCUACACAACGAAUUUCAUGUCAAAAUCAUUCACAGAGAUAUUAAAUCAAACAACAUUCUUCUUACUGAUGAUUUUAAACCAAAGAUAGCAGAUUUUGGUCUGGCAAGGUUUCUACCUGAGGAUGAAACUCAUGUUAGCACCAAGUUUGCUGGGACAUUGGGUUACACAGCGCCAGAAUAUGCACUUCAAGGUGUUUUAUCGGAUAAAGUUGACACUUACAGCUUUGGAGUUGUGAGUCUUGAAAUCAUUAGUGGCCGGAGGAGUACUGAAGUGAAAUCUGACAUAUCAUCCUCCGACUACCUACUGGAAGAUGCAUGGAAGUCAUAUGAGAAGAAAACACAUAUGAAAUUCAUUGAUGUCACAUUGGACUUGAACCAACACCAGCAAGAACAUGUGAUGAAGAUCAUUGAGAUUGCUUUGUUGUGCACCCAAUCGCCAGCUUCGAAGAGACCAACCAUGUCGGAGGUCGUUUUGAUGCUUCAGGAUGGCCAAUCAUUGGGGAAAAGAGAGCUAACCAGACCUACUGAUGUACACAAUCAUGAAAGGAGGAUUCAUAUUGGCUCUUUAAAGAAUUCCAUUGUUGCUGAUAAUGUUUGCAAAAACCCAAAGCAAAUAUUAGAGGCGAAUGAGAAGCUACGUAGUGAAAGAGGAAUGCCAAAGUAGAUGUAAUGGAGAAAGGGAUGGAUGUUGCAAAGAUCAAAUAAAUCAAGGAUUCAGGGUUGAUGAUGCAGUGUGCUCAAGGAGAAAGGAGAAAGAGAACACGAAUUUGUUUGAAAAUCUACCGGUCGACAUGAAUGUGGUAAACUUUGAACAGGGUCGGCCUGGGCGAGUUGGGCAGAGGCCCAUGACAGCAAAGAGAAGAGGGGCAUAACUUUAGUCCAUCAUUCUAAUGUAUUAGGUUUUCGGCCCAAAUGAUUUCAUCCCGGAUUGACUGUGGGUUUACUCGCUCUAGUUCCCGUCUUCCCAAUCGUCUCCUAGAAUGAUGAAAGGUCCAAAUUUAGAAGACGAGUUCAUUGGUUUCCCCGAUCAUCAAUUGGUCAAGAGACUCGUAUUUGGAUACAUAAUGGAUACCCUCUCCCGAUUUCUUUCUUGUACACAAGAACGGUGAUUUAUACAAACUCUAAUCUCUUGUCGCUCGAUUUCUCUAAACUCUUUUUUCUUAUCUUUUUUUAUACCAUUUUCUCUUCCGAUUUCUGUGACUAUCUUGAUAUUUAUCUACUCUCCAAUGUGGAGCUCAUCAGAGUUGUAAUGGAAGUAUUCUCCUAUUUAGGACGAUCAUGCCCCUGUUGCUAUGGAAUUGUCCAGUUCUCCAUUUGUUACUUAGCUUUUCUAGAUGUUUUGCUUUCGUGUUACUUUUCUGGAUUUGGAGUUUUACCUAGGUGUAUGGUUACGUUAUUCUUUCUUUGGUCGGUUUGGAUUUUAAAGGUGCCUCCCUCUACAUAUUGUUUUGCCAAUUUGGACGAUUAUACCAUUAUUGCUCUAGGGGUAUUUAAUUUUUGUAAUCCCCUUCAAGUUAUCACGAUUUUGGUUUCAAAUAGUAUUAAGAGCCUGGUUGGACGAUUA